rnacentral:lncRNA from 1 species
AGUUCAUAAGUGUCUGGCAUUUCCCCUGCUUGCACUCACUCUGUCCUGCCACCCUGUGAAGAAGGUGCCUGCUUCUCCUUUGCCUUCCAGCAUGAUUAUGACAGUGAGGGCCCUGGAGAAUGACAGAUUUACAAGAUGGAGACAACCUGGAUCCCUGAGUGACUGCAUGGAGGAUAGCACCCCCACCAACUUGAGUACCCUGAUUUCUUGUUACCUGUGCGAGAAAUAACAUUCCAUCAUUAGAGUCAUUAAACAUUUGAGUCUAUUUGUUACGGUGGCUCGGUCUAUCCUAAAGGACACACUGCUCUACUUAACUUCAGGAACGGGAUAAUGAAUACUCAAUAAUGAGGAGCCCCUUAUAUAUUUCAGCAAGAUAUUUAUUACUUCAUGUAGACUACACUAUUACUUUGUGUAGACAAGGCUGAGAAACAAGGAUGGUUGCUGACCUAGGUCAGAGAAGUAGUACUGACUGAAAAACCAAACCUAAAGGUUAAUGAAUCACUGUCCAACCAUAUAUAUUCCUUUGGGCUUUAUUAUCAGUUCUGUCCUUUUCAACAUUUGUAGUAAUGACUUGGAUGAAUAUAAAGAAUGCUCACUUCCCAAGCUUGCAAAAUCCACCCUGGAUUGGACAAUCGUGAUUCACAAAUAUCUUGGCGUUUUAUUUGCAUUGUGUUGUUGUAUCCUAACAACUAUGGAGAGAAUAAUGAAUAAAAACUUUGACCCAAUGGGCAGGGGACAGAAGCUUGGCUUUAAAAGGGAAAGGUGAUUGCGCCACUGCACUCCAGCCUGGGCGACAGAGCAAGACUCCGUCUCAAAAAAAAAGGGAAAGGUGGUGCACAAAACUGAAGAUGGUAAAGAUCACUGGAGUAAACUGUAAGGUCCUGAGCUUAGUUUGAAAUAAAUUAGAACAAGAUAGAGAAGACAUGGCUUAAAGCAGCACAUUUUUUAAAAGUUAGACAUUUUAGAACGCAUUUCUACAAGCAUUGUGCCUAUAAUAAAAAGGUGAUAAUCUCGUGUUUUUCUGCCUGUGAGGGGGGACCUCCCUCUUGAUAUUUUGUUGUCAAAUGCUACACAAUACAUGAAAUGUGCUCAGAGGAGAGUGCUCAGAACUGAGAAGCCUCAGGAAGAUGGAUUUGGGGUGUGUGUGUGUGUGUGUGUAUGUGUGUGUGUGUGUGUGUAUGUCUGUGUGUUUUAAUAGAGACAGGGUCUUACUCUGUUACUCAGGCUGGAGUCCAGUGAUGUGAUCACAAUUCACUGUAAACUCUAAUUCUUGGACUCAAGCGAUCCUCCUGCCUCGGCCUCCUGAGUAGGUAGGACUACGGGAAUGUGCCACCAAUUUUUUUUGUAGUGACAAGGGUCUUCCUAUGUUGCCUAGACUGGUCUUGAACUCUUGGCUUCAAAUGAUCCUCCUGUUUCAGCCUCCCAAAGCAUUGGGCUUACAGACGUGAGCCACUGCACCUGGACAAAUUUUUUAAAACAUUCUAUUGGGUAAAUCUGUUCAAUUGUUAAUUGGGCUGCCUCAAUAAGCAGUGAAUGCCCCAUCUCUGGAAGUGUUUGAAUAAAU